GUGUAUCAGCGCUACCCACGGAUGCGCCGGGUGGAUCAGAAACAGAAUUGGAGCUAUUUUAUCUGGACCUAAUUAAACAGCCUUCAUUACUGGCAGGGGAAGCUUUCCGUGGCGCAGGCAGAUGAAUACGCGUGCGGUGGGAGCUUUAUGGCCACUGCAGACCCAACUGUCAUUCCUUCGGUACUUCCUGUCAGUCUGACUCAACUCUGUCAUCCUUCAACCCGGUUUAAAUUAACAGUUUACAUGAGAAGGUCAAAUGAGAACGUGCUUGACAUUUCCUGCAGGGACAGAACCUGGUGGAGGUCUAUCUGUGAGGCGUUCUGAGGACACAGCGACCCCAGGACAGAGUGCUCAGUGUUUCUAAAAGUGCACCGAUAUCGAAUCGCUAUUGGCCUCAAUCC